CCUACGGGUGGCAGCAGUGAGGAAUAUUGGUCAAUGGACGCAAGUCUGAACCAGCCAUGCCGCGUGCAGGAAGACGGCUCUAUGAGUUGUAAACUGCUUUUGUACGAGGGUAAACGCAGAUACGCGUAUCUGUCUGAAAGUAUAGUACGAAUAAGGAUCGGCUAACUCCGUGCCAGCAGCCGCGGUAAUACGGAGGAUUCAAGCGUUAUCCGGAUUUAUUGGGUUGAAAGGGUGCGUAGGCGGUCGGAUAAGUUAGAGGUGAAAUCCCGAGGCUCAACUUCGGAAUUGCCUCUGAUACUGUGCGGCUAGAGAAUAGUUGCGGGAGGCGGAAUGGAUGGUGUAGCGGUGAAAUGCUUAGAGAUCAGACAGAACACCCAUUGCGAAGGCAGGUUACCAAGCUACUUCUGACGUUGAGGCACGAAGGCGAGGGGAGCAAACAGGAUUAGAUACCCGGGUAGUC
rnacentral:rRNA from 1 species